AACGAACGCUGGCGGCGUGGAUAAGACAUGCAAGUCGAGCGGGGCACUAUUUGUAGCAAUACAGGUAGUGUUCAGCGGCGCAAGGGUGCGUAACACGUGGGCAACCUGCCCGGAAAUGGGGGAUAGCUCGUCGAAAGGCGAAUUAAUACCGCAUGUGGCGAAGGGUGGAAUCACCUUGUAGCUAAAGUCGGGGCAACCUGACGUUUCUGGAUGGGCCCGCGGCCUAUCAGCUAGUUGGAGAGGUAACGGCUCCCCAAGGCUAUGACGGGUAGCUGGUCUGAGUGGACGACCAGCCACACUGGAACUGAGACACGGUCCAGACACCUACGGGUGGCAGCAGUCGAGAAUUUUUCUCAAUGGGGGAAACCCUGAAGGAGCGACGCCGCGUGAAGGAUGAAGGUCUUCGGAUUGUAAACUUCUGUCAUUGGUGAACAAGGCCCACGCAGUAACUGGUGUUGGGAUUGAUAGUAGCCGAAGAGGAAGAGACGGCUAACUCUGUGCC
rnacentral:rRNA from 1 species